UCGGAGGCCUAACACAUGCAAGUCGAGCGGUAGACAGAAGCUUGCUUCUCUUGAGAGCGGCGGACGGGUGAGUAAUGCCUAGGAAUCUGCCUAGUGGUGGGGGAUAACGUUCGGAAACGGACGCUAAUACCGCAUACGUCCUACGGGAGAAAGCGGGGGACCUUCGGGCCUCGCGCCAUUAGAUGAGCCUAGGUCGGAUUAGCUAGUUGGUGAGGUAAUGGCUCACCAAGGCUACGAUCCGUAACUGGUCUGAGAGGAUGAUCAGUCACACUGGAACUGAGACACGGUCCAGACUCCUACGGGAGGCAGCAGUGGGGAAUAUUGGACAAUGGGCGAAAGCCUGAUCCAGCCAUGCCGCGUGUGUGAAGAAGGUCUUCGGAUUGUAAAGCACUUUAAGUUGGGAGGAAGGGUAGUAACUUAAUACGUUGCUACUUUGACGUUACCGACAGAAUAAGCACCGGCUAACUUCGUGCCAGCAGCCGCGGUAAUACGAAGGGUGCAAGCGUUAAUCGGAAUUACUGGGCGUAAAGCGCGCGUAGGUGGUUCAGUAAGUUGGAUGUGAAAUCCCCGGGCUCAACCUGGGAACUGCAUCCAAAACUGCUGAACUAAAGUACGGUAAAGGGUAGUGGAAUUUCCUGUGUAGCGGUGAAAUGCGUAAAUAUAGGAAGGAACACCAUUGGCGAAGGCGACUACCUGGACUGAUACUGACACUGAGGUGCAAAAGCGUGGGGAGCAAACAGGAUUAAAUACCCUGGUAGUCCACGCCGUAAACAUUGUCAACUAGCCGUUGGGAGUCUUGAACU
rnacentral:rRNA from 1 species